rnacentral:rRNA from 1 species
UUCGUGUGAACAGUGGUUGAUCACGAGUUAGUCGGUCCUAAGUUCAAGGCGAAAGCCGAAAAUUUUCAAGUAUUUCAAAAAUCAAUAUAUUACCAAUCUCUGACUUUUCAAGCACUUGAAUAAUUUUGAACGAAAGGGAAUACGGUUCCAAUUCCGUAACCUGUUGAGUAUCCGUUUGUUAUUAAAUAUGGGCCUCGUGCUCAUCCUGGCAACAGGAACGACCAUAAAGAAGCCGUCGAGAGAUAUCGGAAGAGUUUUCUUUUCUGUUUUAUAGCCGUACUACCAUGGAAGUCUUUCGCAGAGAGAUAUGGUAGAUGGGCUAGAAGAGCAUGACAUAUACUGUUGUGUCGAUAUUUUCUCCUCGGACCUUGAAAAUUUAUGGUGGGGAUACGCAAACUUCUCAACAGGCCGUACCAAUAUCCGCAGCUGGUCUCCAAGGUGAAGAGUCUCUAGUCGAUAGAAUA